rnacentral:misc_RNA from 1 species
UCUUUGAUCCAAAUAGUGUACAAGCUAAAAAGUUCUUUUCAUUCAGUAUGCUGUAAACCUAUUACAUUUGGCUGUGUAUUCUAUUGAGUGUUUUUGGUGGAAAACAGCAUCUGCUAAAUUAAGUACAUCACCAAAUGUAAAACAUAAGUAGAUAAAUAGCUACAUUCAGAAAUGUACUAAAUCAAAUCCACGCUAACUUGUUGAAAAACCAUAUUCCGCCAAAUAUCGAGCACGCUAAAUAUAGUACAUUUACAGUAAUUUCUCCAUUGUCAGAGGGUGCUUAUUUAGGGGGAAUAAGACAAUGAACAUUACAAUUGUUGUGAUGUUUUGAGUUGUGAAAGUAAAUUUUCAUCAGAUUAUUUUUUGUUGAUAUAUGUUUACUUGUAUGCAUAUCUUCCAAAUUCAAUGUCUGGGCUGUAACUUUUUGUUUACAAACCAAAUUAUUUACCUAGCUCUAUCUACUUAUCUAUUUAAUUUUUCUCUCAGAAGUGCUAUGUAUUGUUAGAUUUUAAUUUUUGUUUAUAUGUAUUAAUUGGUUGAUCAGAUAUAAAGAAGCUUUUGAAAUGGAAAGUUGAUUUUGUUGUGUCAGUUUUAAAUUUUGAUUGAGUGAUUAUACAUUUGCAAUGAUAUUGAUGUGAAAGCUUAAAAUGAUUUUAACCGGUUCAGAAUGUCCUUGUGUUAUACCAAUGUCUGUAGUAAUACAAACAGCCAUUCUACAAAUUUUCGUAUUUGGAUGUUGCAUUUUUUAGCUGCAUUUUGUUCAUUCAUGAUUAAGGUAUGAACAGCAGUGUAGAUGAAGCUGAAUCUAUCAAAUUACUGGUAGAAUUAUUCAAUAAAGGUAAAAGCCAU